UUGCAUGUUUUAAAAACAAAGACUAACCCUAUUCCGCUAGUAAUUAAUAUUUUGAGACGAAAAUAAAAAGCCCAUUAGUAAAAAUCAUAAUAAAAUUUCCAGGUGACAAGGUUAGCACUCAAUAAUAAUCGAUGAGAAUAAUGGUUUAAAUGAACAAUUGCGUUUAGAGUAUUCGUCAGUUGAUGUUUUUAUUUUGUUCGGUAUAAAAGUUAGUGCUGAAAAAUUGCCAGUGUUUUCAUGAUGUUUAAAUACAUUAUUUUGGUGUUCUUGAUAAGUCAGCAGAUGCUGAGCGUUGUUCGAAGUGCUGAUCCAGCACCUAAACAACCAAAUGGUGACUCGUCGUCGGGUUCAGAAAUAGAUGACGACAUGAUGGAAAAAUUCACCAGUAUUUUUGAUAAUUGUAAAACUGUCUUACAAGAGGUUGAUAAGAUAUCAAGCAGCAACCCUGGAAAUCAGGAGGUCGAAGUGUUCAAAAAUAUUCAUCAGAUUUGUAAUAAUUUCAAUACUAUUUAUACGUCUUAUACAGAUGAUAAUUAGACAAUUGUGUUCGAGUCUUUGUCAAUCAACGUGACAAUGAUGAGUGCUAUUAAAUAGUUUGGCAAUAUGA